UCUCAUCUCGGGAAAAAAAGUUAUUCAGAUUACAACAUUGUAAUGGCAGUGCACUUGGAAAAAUGAGAGGGAGCAAGUGAUGCGAAUUGCAUUACAUGCUGUGAUGAGUUGACGAAAGUUCUCCAGGGAGAAUGAGCAUGUUUGCAAACAUCCUGUCUCAAUCCCCAACGCUCUUGUCUUUAAACUCUUCUGUUUGUAUAUAUGGAUGGUGGCACCGUGGAACAGCCGGGCAGAGCCCCAGAUGGCAAACGUUAAUACCUUAGAAGUAAACUGUUGCAGUUCUAUUCAGCAUGCGGUGUGUGGAGUUUGGAGGAGGAUGCCCUUCUUGUGGGCAAGGUGGUUGUACUCAUCCAACAACUGAAGCUGGAGAAUGCCACUUAGCAAGCAACAACCAUCAACCUCCCUACUUCAUAGCAGAAGUUGCUUGCUAUAUUGAGCAGGCUUUUGUGCCUAUGCCCAGCGUUGCCCACCUUUCACCACUUGCACGCUUUGGGCCUGUUUUCACACGUAGACACUAAAGCAGUACUGCAUUGGCAGAUGAUCUGAAUUCUGUGCCAGCAACUAACUACGUACUGAUAUUUUCCACCUGAGACAUGUCUUGAGACAAGUUGAGUGCAAGACGGUUUAUAAAAGAUUGUGUAAGUUGUACCUGUGUGGAGAUCUCAGUCAUACACGUAUGUACAGUAGAGGCGCAUCUCAACAUUGCUCCCUCGUUUCUUAUAACCCUCAUAUGACAGUCAAGCCUACUUCUAUAAAGUUGGAGUCCAUUUUAAAGGAACCAUGAGGGAGAAAUUCAUAUAACCCAUGGGCAGACAUCAUGAAAUACUGACUUGCAUGGCUAUGUAUAGUCUACCACAAGAGCAGCCUAAAUACUCGACCGGCAAGAGGGAUAUGCUGUCUUUGGAAGGAAUGAUUGAGUUGCAAGCACAACAGUGGAGGAGCUUUAGCAUGAACGGAGCAUUUUUCAGUGAUCUAGGCCCAGCUUGGUUCGUUGCAGAUACGGAUAACAGCUCAACUGUAUUUCCUUCAGCUCAUCAGUUAAUUGUGGAGUCAUCCGCAGUGCUACUGAACUGGGAGACAAAGUUAUUGACACCGUCCAUGCAGAAGUCGUACAGGAUGUUUGCAAGACAUAAAGACAAAGGCAUUAAAUCAGCACAAUGGAUGGUUUUGUACCACACAACUGAAUAAAAUGUAUUCACUAAUA